AAACUAGUUGAUGAUCAGUACAGAUGUGUGUUGAAAUGUUUGGCCAGAAAGAUGUUCCGCCCCUCUUCUGUUUUCUUUAAAAAGACCCAAAGUACCAAUGACUGCAUUUCAUCAGACCAGCAUCUGUGCAAAGCUUACAAAAAUGAAAUCUUUGGCUCUGGUUUUGGUAUUUUGUGCCUUUGUCUCUUUAAGCGACUCUGCCUGCUCCACGACACCUCUAAACCAAGGGGCAAGAUUUUGUGUCGAUGGCUAUGAUAACUCCAGGCAUCCAAUGGGAAUUGCUUGGACAAACGGCAGAUGUAUGAGAUGUACCUGCUACCCCGGGCAAAUGGGAUGCUGUG